GGUUAGUAGGUUGGUCAUGCCUCUGGUAUGUACUGAUCUCACUGAUUCCUCCCUCUUGACGAACUGUAAUGUCAUUAAUUUGGUGUUGCAGGAAAUCAGGACUGUUACUUUGAAAAAAUUAGAGUGUUUAAAGCAGGCUAAGGCUUGAAUACAUUAGCAUGGAAUAAUGAAAUAGGACGUUUGUUCCUAUUUUGUUGGUUUC
rnacentral:rRNA from 1 species